CGUAUCGUGGAGUAGUUGGCAACGUGCUUGUCUAGUGAAUAGGAGUCGUGAGUUUGAAUCUCACCGAGAGGA
rnacentral:tRNA from 1 species